AGCGAACGCUGGCGGCAGGCCUAACACAUGCAAGUCGAGCGCCGUAGCAAUACGGAGCGGCAGACGGGAGAGUAACACGUGGGAACGUGCCCUUUGGUUCGGAACAACCAAGGGAAACUUGGGCUAAUACCGGAUAAGCCCUUACGGGGAAAGAUUUAUCGCCGAAGGAUCGGCCAGCGUCUGAUUAGCUAGUUGGUGGGGUAAUGGCCCACCAAGGCGACGAGCAGUAGCUGGUCUGAGAGGAUGAUCAGCCUCACUGGGACUGAGACACGGCCCAGACUCCUACGGGAGGCAGCAGUGGGGAAUAUUGGACAAUGGGCGCAAGCCUGAUCCAGCCAUGCCGCGUGGGUGAUGAAGGCCCUAGGGUUGUAAAGCCCUUUCGGCGGGGAAGAUAAUGACGGUACCCGCAGAAGAAGCCCCGGCUAACUUCGUGCCAGCCGCCGCCGUAA
rnacentral:rRNA from 1 species